rnacentral:rRNA from 1 species
CGGCGGACGGGUGAGUAACGCGUGGGUAACCUGCCUCAUACAGGGGGAUAACAGUGGAAACGGCUGCUAAUACCGCAUAAGCGCACAGUACCGCAUGGUACCGUGUGAAAAACUCCGGUGGUAUGAGAUGGACCCGCGUCUGAUUAGCUAGUUAGUGGGGUAACGGCCUACCAAGGCGACGAUCAGUAGCCGACCUGAGAGGGUGACCGGCCACAUUGGGACUGAGACACGGCCCAA